rnacentral:rRNA from 1 species
CCCCAGACUCCUACGGGAGGCAGCAGUGAGGAAUAUUGGUCAAUGGACGAGAGUCUGAACCAGCCAAGUAGCGUGAAGGAUGACUGCCCUAUGGGUUGUAAACUUCUUUUAUAAAGGAAUAAAACGAGGCACGUGUGCCUUUUUGCAUGUACUUUAUGAAUAAGGAUCGGCUAACUCCGUGCCAGCAGCCGCGGUAAUACGGAGGAUCCGAGCGUUAUCCGGAUUUAUUGGGUUUAAAGGGUGCGCAGGCGGAAGAUCAAGUCAGCGGUAAAAUUGAGAGGCUCAACCUCUUCGAGCCGUUGAAACUGGUUUUCUUGAGUGAGCGAGAAGUAUGCGGAAUGCGUGGUGUAGCGGUGAAAUGCUUAGAUAUCACGAAGAACUCCGAUUGCGAAGGCAGCAUACGGCAGCGCUACUGACGCUGAAGCUCGAAGGCGCGGGUAUCGAACAGGAUUAGAUACCCCAGUACCG